ACCUGGCCUUGACAUGGUAGGAACCCUUAAGAGAUUAGGGGUGCUAGCUUGCUAGAACCUACACACAGGUGCUGCACGGCUGUCGUCAGCUCGUGUCGUGAGAUGUUGGGUUAAGUCCCGCAACGAGCGCAACCCUCGUCCUUAGUUGCUAACAGUUCGGCUGAGCACUCGUAGGGAGACUGCCUUCGGCAAGGAGGAGGAAGGUGAGGACGACGUCAAGUCAUCAUGGCCUUACGGCCAGGGCUACACACGUGCUACAAUGGGGCGUACAGAGGAGCUGCGAUACCGCGAGGUGGAGCCAAUCUCUUAAAGCGUCUCUCAGUUCGGAUUGUUCUCUGCAACUCGAGAACAUGAAGCUGGAAUCACUAGUAAUCGUGGAUCAGCAUGCCACGGUGAAUACGUUCCCGGGCCUU
rnacentral:rRNA from 1 species